rnacentral:rRNA from 1 species
UGGGGAAUAUUGCACAAUGGGCGCAAGCCUGAUGCAGCCAUGCCGCGUGUAUGAAGAAGGCCUUCGGGUUGUAAAGUACUUUCAGCGGGGAGGAAGGGAGUAAAGUUAAUACCUUUGCUCAUUGACGUUACCCGCAGAAGAAGCACCGGCUAACUCCGUGCCAGCAGCCGCGGUAAUACGGAGGGUGCAAGCGUUAAUCGGAAUUACUGGGCGUAAAGCGCACGCAGGCGGUUUGUUAAGUCAGAUGUGAAAUCCCCGGGCUCAACCUGGGAACUGCAUCUGAUACUGGCAAGCUUGAGUCUCGUAGAGGGGGGUAGAAUUCCAGGUGUAGCGGUGAAAAGCGUAGAGAUCUGGAGGAAAACCGGUGGCGAAGGCGGCCCCCUGGACGAAGACUGACGCUCAGGUGCGAAAGCGUGGGGAGCAAACAGG